GACCCGUCUUGAAACACGGACCAAGGAGUUUAACAUGUGCGCGAGUCAUUGGGUGUUUUGAAACCUACAGGCGAAAUGAAGGUAAAGACUUUCUUACGAAAGUUGACGGAGGAUGUCUGGUUCCUGCUCUCAUGGGGAUGACCAGACCGCACUCCGGGGGCGUCUUAUCUGCUUUUGCCAGAGAGGCGCACCGAGAGCGCACACGUUGGGACCCGAAAGAUGGUGAACUAUGCCUGGGGAGGAUGAAGCCAGAGGAAACUCUGGUGGAAGUCCGUUUCGAUUCUGACGUGCAAAUCGAUCGUCGAACCUUGGUAUAGGGGCGAAAGACUAAUCGAACCAUCUAGUAGCUGGUUCCCCCCGAAGUUUCCCUCAGGAUAGCUGGUGCUCGAUGUUACAGAUGACGAGUCUCAUCCGGUAAAGCGAAUGAUUAGAGGUCUUGGGGUCGAAAUGACCUCAACCUAUUCUCAAACUUUAAAUUGGGUGAGAAGCUCGGCUUACUUGACUGAAGCCCGGGCAAUUACGGAUCGGAGAAGUACCAAGUGGGCCAUUUUUGGUAAGCAGAACUGGCGCUGUGGGAUGAACCAAACGUCGAGUUAAGGCGCCCGACAGGACGCAAAUCUGAUCCCACGAAGGGUGUCGGUUGCUCCAGACAGCAGGACGGUGGCCAUGGAAGUCGGAAUCCGCUAAGGAGUGUGU
rnacentral:rRNA from 1 species